UAAUAUUUUAAAUAAAAUACCGAUAUAGCAAUACUAAAAUCAAAUGAAAUAAAAAAAAAUUAUAUUCUAAGAUUCAUGAGACAGUACCUGAUCGCCUACAAUAUAUUUCAAAAAGUUAUAUCAACACAAUUACCAGUCAAAAUUAUGAACACCGAAUGAGCAACCGUGAAUAAUUGUUGUGAAGUACAAGUAAAAUAGGUAAAUAAAUGCUUUAGCUACAAUACAUUACUCUUAUGAAACUAACAUACGCCGACGCGGAUAAUAUUAUACAGAAAUAAGGGACUAGACAGUUUUUAAUUUAACAACUCUACUAAUAAAGUAUAUAAUAGAAAAGAGGAACAGCUGUGUGAUUCCAGUACAAUCCAUAACAGCAAAGCAGUAAACGAGAAAAAAACCGUCGAGCAGCUCCCAUCAAUAAAUACACUUGUCAUAUAACAAGGAAACCCAUCACAAUGAAAAAAGGAAUUGAAGCGAUGAAAUGAAUAUUAUUUAAUUUUUUGAUACAUAACUUGUUAGAUUAGCAAAAACCAUUUUGUAUUAUUAGUCUAUACAAACAUGCACUUUUACAUUUUAGAAAAAUAGUGCAUCGCACCAGUUCUUUUCCCACCUCUCUGAAAUAAAAAUAUCAUGGUAUUCAAAUACAGGAAUCUCAAUAAAUACCAACACCUCUUAUAGAAAGACUCAGGAACUACCUCAGUAAUAACUACAGCAGUAACCACGCAUAUACUAUGAAACAUGAACUAAAUUUUUCACGCAGGUUUCAAUCUGGAGAAAAAAGUGAACGUAAAAAUGAAUGAACACUAAAGGGACUGGACUUUUUUUUAUAAUUUGUUGGGACAUAAAGGUAAAACAUUAAUCGUUUUAUGUUUUAGAUAGCCAAAAUAAACAGCUAGAUGAUUCAAGCACAAUGUCAAUAGCAGCAAAGCAGAUAUAAUGGAAAAAACACUUAUAGCAUCAAAAAUCCACAAGUACACAAACCAAAAAACAAGGAAAUCAAGAGUGGAAAACAGAAUCAAGACAACCAGCAGAAUAUUAUUUUAUUAUUUUGAUGAAAAACCUGUAACAUAAGCCCUAACCAUUUCAUAAAAUUACCAUUAGCAUUAGAACCAUAAAAUUCAUACUUAAAUGUGGAGUAUUUUUAAUAUUUUUAAAUUUUUAAACAUUAGAUUCAUAUUUAAAUUUAGAGGAAUUAUAAUAUAACUCAUUGAAUAAAAUGAUAAUACCAAAUUAAAAAAAGUAUAAUCUUCCUUUAAGUUAUUAAUUUGUAAUAUGUUUG